rnacentral:rRNA from 1 species
CUAGCGACUUCAGAGUUUGAUCCUGGCUCAGGACGAACGCUGGCGGCGUGCCUAACACAUGCAAGUCGAACGAAGUCGAGCAAUCGACUUAGUGGCGGACGGGUGAGUAACGCGUGAGAAACCUGCCUUUCAGAGGGGGAUAACGUUCGGAAACGAACGCUAAUACCGCAUGGCAUAUUUGAGUCGCAUGGCUUGAAUAUCAAAGGAGCAAUCCGCUGAAAGAUGGUCUCGCGUCCGAUUAGCUAGUUGGUGAGAUAACAGCCCACCAAGGCGACGAUCGGUAGCCGGACUGAGAGGUCGAACGGCCACAUUGGGACUGAGACACGGCCCAG